rnacentral:lncRNA from 7 species
GGAAGGAUCUCUGGUUAGAGGUCUCUCUAGUGUUGAGCUUCUUUUGAGAGCCUGGGUCUUUGGAGGUGGAAAACACAAAGAUUGACCUGAUGGACUACUAGUUUUAGGUACAUCUCAUACAGGGAGAAUGAUGGCAAGAAUAGCUCAACACUCAACUUGCUGGACAACCCCACAGCCCUGUUCCUUGCCAUGGUCCCCCAUGUUACACUGGAAUCAGCCUUGCCAGCGUGCUCAGCCUGACAUUGAUGUGCUUUGCUUACACCUCAUUGCGUGCCAGCAGUGACGUGGGAUUUGCUUUUUUGGGCUUUGGGAAAGAGGUGUGAAGAAGAGAGGGACCAAAAUGAUGGGAGUCACGGACUGACAAGUGAUGUCUUACCCAUAUUCCAAACAGUCCUCUGAAUGUUCAGAGAACCCCACGCAAGGAGUCUCGAUCCGCUCCUUGGAGUCCCCCUGAAAGCCUAAAACAAGCUUUUCAUCUCUGCCCAGUGCUUCACCUGGUUCUGAAUAAUUUUUUUUCUUCCUCUUAUAUCUAUUACACUAAAAGUUACUUUC